rnacentral:rRNA from 1 species
UGGGGAAUUUUGGACAAUGGGCGAAAGCCUGAUCCAGCCAUGCCGCGUGCAGGAUGAAGGCCUUCGGGUUGUAAACUGCUUUUGUACGGAACGAAAGACUCUGGUUAAUACCUGGGGUCCAUGACGGUACCGUAAGAAUAAGCACCGGCUAACUACGUGCCAGCAGCCGCGGUAAUACGUAGGGUGCAAGCGUUAAUCGGAAUUACUGGGCGUAAAGCGUGCGCAGGCGGUUAUAUAAGACAGAUGUGAAAUCCCCGGGCUCAACCUGGGAACUGCAUUUGUGACUGUAUAGCUAGAGUACGGCAGAGGGGGAUGGAAUUCCGCGUGUAGCAGUGAAAUGCGUAGAUAUGCGGAGGAACACCGAUGGCGAAGGCAAUCCCCUGGGCCUGUACUGACGCUCAUGCACGAAAGCGUGGGGAGCAAACAGGAUUAGAUACCCUGGUAGUCCACGCCCUAAACGAUGUCAACUGGGUUGUUGGGUCUUCACUGACUCAGUAACGAAGCUAACGCGUGAAGUUG